GACGAACGCUGGCGGCGUGCUUAACACAUGCAAGUCGAACGGAAAGGCCCUGCUUGCAGGGUACUCGAGUGGCGAACGGGUGAGUAACACGUGGGUGAUCUGCCCUGCACUUCGGGAUAAGCCUGGGAAACUGGGUCUAAUACCGGAUAGGAGCCAUUUUUAGUGUGAUGGUUGGAAAGUUUUUUCGGUGUAGGAUGAGCUCGCGGCCUAUCAGCUUGUUGGUGGGGUAAUGGCCUACCAAGGCGGCGACGGGUAGCCGGCCUGAGAGGGUGGACGGCCACAUUGGGACUGAGAUACGGCCCAGACUCCUACGGGAGGCAGCAGUGGGGAAGAGUGCACAAUGGGCGCAAGCCUGAUGCAGCGACGCCGCGUGGGGGAUGACGGCCUUCGGGUUGUAAACUCCUUUCGCUAGGGACGAAGCUUUUUGUGACGGUACCUAGAUAAGAAGCACAGGCUAACUACGUG
rnacentral:rRNA from 1 species